UUGGUUUGGGGGGUUGCUUUCCAGGACUUGGUUUGUGGGAGGGGUUGCUUUCCAGGACUUGGUUUGUGGGAGGGGUUGCUUUCCAGGACUUGGUUUGGGGGGUUGCUUUCCAGGACUUGGUUUGGGGGGGUUGCUUUCCAGGACUUGGUUUGUGGGGGGGUUGCUUUCCAGGACUUGGUUUGUGGGAGGGGUUGCUUUCCAGGACUUGGUUUGUGGGAGGGGUUGCUUUCCAGGACUUGGUUGUGGGAGGGGUUGCUUUCCAGGACUUGGUUGUGGGAGGGGUUGCUUUCCAGGACUUGGUUGUGGGAGGGGUUGCUUUCCAGGACUUGGUUGUGGGAGGGGUUGCUUUCCAGGACUUGGUUGUGGGAGGGGGGGGUUGCUUUCCAGGACUUGGUUGUGGGAGGGGUUGCUUUCCAGGACUUGGUUGUGGGAGGGGGGGCUUUCCAGGACUUGGUUUGUGGGAGGGGUUGCUUUCCAGGACUUGGUUUGGGGG
ensembl:lncRNA